rnacentral:rRNA from 1 species
AGAGUUUGAUCAUGGCUCAGGACGAACGCUGGCGGCGUGCUUAACACAUGCAAGUCGAACGGUAAGGCCCUUCGGGGUACACGAGUGGCGAACGGGUGAGUAACACGUGGGUGAUCUGCCCUGCACUUUGGGAUAAGCCUGGGAAACUGGGUCUAAUACCGAAUAUGACUCCGGGAUGCAUGUCUUGGGGUGGAAAGCUUUUGCGGUGUGGGAUGGGCCCGCGGCCUAUCAGCUUGUUGGUGGGGUGAUGGCCUACCAAGGCGACGACGGGUAGCCGGCCUGAGAGGGUGUCCGGCCACACUGGGACUGAGAUACGGCCCAGACUCCUACGGGAGGCAGCAGUGGGGAAUAUUGCACAAUGGGCGCAAGCCUGAUGCAGCGACGCCGCGUGAGGGAUGACGGCCUUCGGGUUGUAAACCUCUUUCAGCAGGGACGAAGCGCAAGUGACGGUACCUGUAGAAGAAGCACCGGCCAACUACGUGCCAGCAGCCGCGGUAAUACGUAGGGUGCGAGCGUUGUCCGGAAUUACUGGGCGUAAAGAGCUCGUAGGUGGUUUGUCGCGUUGUUCGUGAAAACUCACAGCUCAACUGUGGGCGUGCGGGCGAUACGGGCAGACUGGAGUACUGCAGGGGAGACUGGAAUUCCUGGUGUAGCGGUGGAAUGCGCAGAUAUCAGGAGGAACACCGGUGGCGAAGGCGGGUCUCUGGGCAGUAACUGACGCUGAGGAGCGAAAGCGUGGGGAGCGAACAGGAUUAGAUACCCCAGUAGUCC